UAGGGAAUCUUCCACAAUGGACGCAAGUCUGAUGGAGCAACGCCGCGUGAGUGAAGAAGGUUUUCGGAUCGUAAAGCUCUGUUGUUGGUGAAGAAGGAUAGAGGUAGUAACUGGCCUUUAUUUGACGGUAAUCAACCAGAAAGUCACGGCUAACUACGUGCCAGCAGCCGCGGUAAUACGUAGGUGGCAAGCGUUGUCCGGAUUUAUUGGGCGUAAAGCGAGCGCAGGCGGAAGAAUAAGUCUGAUGUGAAAGCCCUCGGCUUAACCGAGGAACUGCAACGGGAACUGUUUUUCUUUAGUGCAGAAGAGGAGAGUGGAAUUCCAUGUGUAGCGGUGGAAUGCGUAGAUAUAUGGAAGAACACCAGUGGCGAAGGCGACUCUCUGGUCUGCAACUGACGCUGAGGCUCGAAAGCAUAGGUAGCGAACAGG
rnacentral:rRNA from 1 species